UCCAUAUAUACUGUGGAGGCCAAGUGACUUCCUAAAAGAAAGAUGAAAUUGUAGCCACUAACAUAAUCUAGGGUUCAUGGCUUUAAAUGAGAACAAAAUAAUAAUAAGGAACAGUUAUUGAUCUCUUACUGUAUGCCUGGCUCUUGGUUAAAUUAUGUGCAUUAUCUGAUUUAAUCUUCAUGUGAGAAUCACAAAGAUCCUUAUAAGAGGGACACAGGAAUCAUCAGAGCCAGAAGAGGAGGGAGUGUGAUAACAGAAGCAGAGAAUGGAGUGACACACUUAAAGAAAAAGAAGGGAGCCACAUCUUGCAAGACCAUCCUGGCUUACAACAUAAAGGCGCAGCAAGGUUUGCUCACAAGCUGAAGGCAGUUGUGUUGUAGCUGAGAUGUGAGGUUGAAAGGGGAACAAAGCAUCUUGGCUCAGCUCUCUGCCAGUACCUACCUGGCUCCUCUUGUC
rnacentral:lncRNA from 1 species